rnacentral:rRNA from 1 species
AUUGAACGCUGGCGGAAUGCUUUACACAUGCAAGUCGAACGGCAGCACGGACUUCGGUCUGGUGGCGAGUGGCGAACGGGUGAGUAAUGUAUCGGAACGUGCCCAGUCGUGGGGGAUAACGUAGUGAAAAUUACGCUAAUACCGAAUACGAUCUAUGGAUGAAUGCGGGGGAUCGCAAGACCUUGCGCGAUUGGAGCGGCCGAUAUCAGAUUAGGUAGUUGGUGGGGUAAAGGCCCACCAAGCCAACGAUCUGUAGCUGGUCUGAGAGGACGACCAGCCACACUGGAACUGAGACACGGUCCAGACUCCUACGGGAGGCAGCAGUGGGGAAUUUUGGACAAUGGGCGAAAGCCUGAUCCAGCCAUUCCGCGUGCAGGAUGAAGGCCCUCGGGUUGUAAACUGCUUUUGUACAGAACGAAAAGGUUUCUACUAAUACUAGGAGCUCAUGACGGUACUGUAAGAAUAAGCACCGGCUAACUACGUGCCAGCAGCCGCCGUAA